rnacentral:rRNA from 1 species
UACGUAGGGUGCAAGCGUUGUCCGGAAUUAUUGGGCGUAAAGAGCUCGUAGGCGGUUCGUCGCGUCGGCUGUGAAAUCCCGAGGCUCAACCUCGGGUCUGCAGUCGAUACGGGCGGACUGGAGUUCGGCAGGGGAGACUGGAAUUCCUGGUGUAGCGGUGAAAUGCGCAGAUAUCAGGAGGAACACCGGUGGCGAAGGCGGGUCUCUGGGACGUCACUGACGCUGAGACGCGAAAGCGUGGGGAGCAAACAGG